UUUUUUUUUUUUUUAUUUUCCAUUAUUUAAAUAACUAAUUAUAUAGGUAAAUUAUCUUGAUUACUUUUCACAGUAAAUUAGCAUAAAUGACAUUCUGCUGAGGUUUUCUUUUCCUCCUAAGGAUUUAGAUGUUAAAUGAAUUGUCCUCUAUGAUACUGAAAUUUGUGGUGGUAAUGGAGCAGGGAAAAGGAUAAAAGUUGUAUGCAUGGGUGAUGUCUGGAAGCACUAGAAAACAAAAAUCUAAAUGCUAUUAUUGAAAUUUGCUGUGAACAAAUUGAAACACAACCUAUUGCGAGAAGCUUAUUCUUUCUUCCUUUGAAUAUUUUUUCAAGAGCGCAGGCAUUUAAAAAGUUAUAUGAGAAAUUUAGAACUAAAGAAUGAGAGAAAUAUAUUUAUAGAUUAGCA
rnacentral:misc_RNA from 1 species